UGGGGAAUAUUGCACAAUGGGGGAAACCCUGAUGCAGCGACGCCGCGUGAACGAAGAAGGUAUUCGUAUCGUAAAGUUCUGUCCUAUGGGAAGAUAAUGACAGUACCAUAGAAGAAAGCUCCGGCUAAAUACGUGCCAGCAGCCGCGGUAAUACGUAUGGAGCGAGCGUUGUCCGGAAUUACUGGGCGUAAAGGGUACGCAGGCGGUUUAAUAAGUCGAAUGUUAAAGAUCGGGGCUCAACCCCGUAAAGCAUUGGAAACGGAAAAACUUGAGUAGUGGAGAGGAGAGUGGAAUUCCUAGUGUAGUGGUGAAAUGCGUAGAUAUUAGGAGGAAUAGCAGUAGCGAAGGCGACUUUCUGGACAAAAACUGACGCUGAGGUACGAAAGCGUGGGGAGCAAACAGG
rnacentral:rRNA from 1 species